UGAAGCAUGUUGUUUAAUUCGUGUUGUGAAAUGUUAGGUUUAUUCCGAGAACGAACGCAACCCUUAUCUUUAAUUAUAUUUGAAUUAAAUAGAAGCAUCUUUCGAUAAGAAAGAAUAAUUAGGAUGAAGACAAGUCCUCAUGACCCUUAUGAAGUGGGCUACAGACGUGCCACAAAGAUUUCUACAAAAGGAAGCAAAGACCCAAGUUUGAGCCAAUCCUCAAAAGGAAUCCAAGUACGAAUAAGAAUCUGGAACUCGAUUCUUUGAA
rnacentral:rRNA from 1 species